UACGGGGGGGGCAAGCGUUGUUCGGAAUUACUGGGCGUAAAGGGCUCGUAGGCGGCCAACUAAGUCAGACGUGAAAUCCCUCGGCUUAACCGGGGAACGGCCUCUGAUACUGGCUGGCUGGAGUUCGGGAGAGGGAUGCGGAAUUCCAGGUGUAGCGGUGAAAUGCGUAGAUAUCAAGCGGAACACCGGUGGCGAAGGCGGCCUUCUGGACAGUGACUGACGCUGAGACGCGAAAGCGUGGGGAGCAAACAGG
rnacentral:rRNA from 1 species